CCCUACGGGGUGGCCCUGCCCCGUCAGAUCCUAGUAGUCCCCACCACUACAGUCGCGGGACAUGGAGCCACUGCACACUGCAGCGCACCGCCGCCGAUUCGAGAAACUGCCCGCGGCGGGCGACUAGAGGCCAUCCCGGUGCCCCGCACUCCCACCAGGCCGCCGCCGCAGUCGCGGAGAUGGAGGAUGCAUUGCAGCGCGCUCGCCCAGUCGAGGAGCUGCCCACGGCGGUCGACGAGGGUUAGAUGGAGCAGAGCUAAUAGAGGUGCAGGGUAGAAGGGAAACGCUGGAAGUAUUGUAUUACCAGAGGUAGAAGACUGGCCAUGGACUUGGAUCAUGGUGACCAGGAUGAGCAGCAGCGCCAGGAUCCAUGUCAGCUUUGUCGUUGUACUUGCCGAGCAACCGAAGCUGAUCGCCAUGGUUGUGCCCAGUCCUCGCAAUUUUUGGAAGCAAGAAACAACCGUCCGGUACAAAAGGCUUGUGCAGCUAUAUAGCAGCGAAAACACCAAUGUGGUAUAUUUUUGUAAUGGUUUGUUGGGGUUUUGAGUAUUUAGUUUGACUUGGGCUUGGGCUUGGCCUUGAAUUUAACAAAUGUAUAGAAAGCAAUUUUUUUUUGCUCAUCAGUAGGUAAUUGCAGGUCGCAGCACUUGUUUUCUCUA